rnacentral:rRNA from 1 species
CGCCUGUUUAUCAAAAACAUUUCCAUUAGCUUAAGAACGGUAAAGCCUGCUCAGUGCAAAAGUAAACAGUGUUUACUCUUAAAGUAGCAUAAUAAAUUGUUUUUUAAUUGAACUCUAGUAUGAAUGGCUUAAUACAAUUUUUAUUCUCUUUCUUCAUAAAAAGGAAAAUUAUAUUUUUAGUAAAAAUACUAAAAUAAAAUAAAGGGACGAGAAGACCCUUGAAUCUUUUGUCACCACAUUAGCUGGGGAAGCUAUUUUAAUAAAAAUUAAAUAUUUAUCUUUAUAAAUAUAAACAUAAUUAGAUACUCAAGGGAUAACAGCGUUAUAAUGUCACAGAGUACACAUCGAAAACAUUAAUUACGACCUCGAUGUUGAAUUAAGAUCACUUUUAUAGAGCAGUAUUUUAAAAAGAAGGAUUGUUCAUCCUUUAAAAUCUUACAUGAUCUGAGUUCAAACCGGAG